AUUAUUUCUGAUAUAAGCAUCCGAUAAAAUUGGAAUGAUACAGAAAAUAUUAAUAUGACUCCUGCGCAAGAAUGAUACGCAUAAAUUGAGACAUGCAAUAAAAAAUA